rnacentral:lncRNA from 1 species
GAGCCCUUGUGCUUCCAGGCCAUCGUGUCCCUCGAUCUAGAUCCAGAUAACGAAAUGGAUAGAAUGCGAGCUAAAUGCACAUCAUCAACAAUAUUACGAACCAAUUCCUUAUUCUAGGUAUUAUUUUCAGCUUCGAUUAACUGAUCGAUGUUAUGUCCUGAUAUUCUGUUAUUUUUAACCCUAGGAAGCCAAGGGGUAUUCCAGAUGUUAACGCUAGCUCCAUUGCCAACUCGCCAUAAAAUCCCAUCUUCAAUUAGAUCCCGAGCACUGUAGAUGCUCCUUCAGGUAAAUGAUGGGUAAAAUCCUAUGUUUGCUGAUAGUAUAUCUGAAUGGGGAUAAUAACGGGCUUUAAGAACUUUUGCUAACAAACAAUUGGGCUGGGAUAAAAGACGCCAGAUUUGUUUUGCUAAUAAAGUUUUAUUAAACAAAAUCAAAUUUUUGAAACCCAGCCCACCAUCACUUUUUGGAUGACACAAAAUGUCCCAAUUACUCCAGUGAAUGCCCUUAGAUGAUUUAUUAUUAGAGCACCAGAACUUGUUCAUGAGACCUUCAAGUUUACAACAUAAAAUUUUCGGAAAAGCAAAAUAUUGCAUGACGUAAACCGAAAUAGCUUGCAAAACUAACUUAACAAAUACUUCUUUCCCUCCCAUUGAUAAGUAACGUAGACUCCAAACUGCGAUACAUUUUCUAAAUUGAUCGAUAAAAUUGGCAAAAGCCCAAACCUUCUUUCGUCUAACCAUCAUAGGCAACCCUAAGUAUUUCUCAGUAUUUGAUGCUACCCUCACACCCAAGACAUUAGUUAUGGUAUCUUUGACAUCUGCAUCCACAUUAGCCUUAAAAUAGAUUAGUGAUUUAUCAAAAUUGACCCUCUGACCCGAAAGUAUCUCAUACUACUUAAUAAUAUCUCUAACCACUUUGGUUCCCUCAUUUGAAGUAUCUCCAAAAAGAAUACAGUCGUCCGUAAAUAAUAAGUGGUUAUAAAAAAUCUUUCCUUUCCAACAGAAGCAUCCCUCAUAAACCCUUUUUGUUUUGCUUCAUUAAUAAGGGUUGAGAAACCCUUUGCACAAAUAAUAAAAAGAUAAGGGCUAAGUGGAUCACCCUGUCUUAAACCUUUUGAAGGUGAGAACCACUCACUGUUUGAACUAUUGGGGCUUAUAGAAUAGGAAACUGAACAAACACAUCUCAUUAUAAGAACAAUCCAAUCCAUAGAAAACCCUAAAUGAGUCAUCAUUCCUGUCAAGAAAUCCCAUUCAACAAGAUCAUACGUUUUACUCAUAUCGAGUUUAAGCGCAAAAUUCCCAUUCUUUCCUUUUGUCUUCAUUUUCAUCGAGUGAAGGACCUCAUAAGCAAUAAGUACAUUAUCCGAAAUAUGUCUUCCUGGGAUAAAAGCUCCUUAGGCUUCAUUAAUGCAAUUUCCUAAAAUAGCACUAAUACGAUUCACCAAGACUUUUGCGAUAAUUUUAUGAACUAUGUUACAAAGACUUAUAGGUCUAAAAUGUGAAAGAUUCUUUGGUUUAUCAACUUUAGGGAUCAAAACUAUACAGGUUUUAUUAAUAGCUUCAAUUUCAGAAUCUCCAUUUAGAACAGAUAAAAAAUAGCAAGAAAUUUCAGAACCAAUAAGAUGCCAGUACCUUUGGAAGAAAAUUGCUGAGAAUCUAUCAAUGCCAGGAACUUUCAACGGCACAAUUGUCUUAACAGCAUAUGUGAUAUCCUCCUCUAUAAAUCGUUUAAGUAAGAGAGCAUUCAUAUCAUCAGUGACUCUUUUCUCUAUUAACCCAAAAACACAUUUAUCUGAGCUCAUAUCUGGAGCCGAAAAUAAAUCCCCAAAAAAAUUCAAAGCAAGUUUAAGCAUCUCCUCAGUCGUGGAAAUCCUUUUGCCAUUUGCCUCCUUUAAUUCUUUGAUUCGUCCAUGUAAUUGACAUUGAACAACUACUUGAUGAAAAUAACUUGUGUUUCUGUCUCCAUUUUUCAGCCAGUUGACUCGGGUCCGUUGUUCCCCAAAAAAUUAUUUUUGGUCAGCCUCUAAAUUAAGGCCCAAUUGAAUAUCUGUGAUUUUAACAAGUAUCUCAUCUGUUGGAUCCUGGUUAUAAAGACAGUUUAGUUUACCUUCAAGAUUUGUACGUUUUUUCUUCUGCUCUCUAAUUCUGAGUCUACUCCAUACCUGAAUCUGCUGUCCCAACUUCACAAGCUUAUCCGGAACACUUCUCGAAAUAUUCUCUCAGUUUCUUUUAAUCUCCUCCUCAAAAUAAUAUUCUAAAACCCAUUUUGCCUCAGAACAAAAAGGAUUUUUGCCAUAAAACGGAAUAUGCUUUUGUCUUCUCAUGGUGUCCAGUAGAAUCGGACAAUGGUCUGAGAAAGAGUGGGUCGGAUGUUCUAAUUGAUAAUUAGGACAAAUAUUAAUCCAACUCAACGAUGCAACACCUAGAUCCAGCCUCUCCCUUAUGUUGGUUGACAAAAACCUUCCUUGUUCCCAUGUAAACCAUCUACCAACAUAACCUCAAUCAUUGAGUCUGCAAUCUUCCAGUGUCAUUCUAAAGUCUUGCAUCUGACGUUUAGCUCUAAGCCUCCCACCCUUCUUUUCCAAAGAGCUCGUGAUUUCAUUAAAAUCCCCAGCAAUCCAAUGAGUCAUUUGGUCCUGCCCCAAUCGUCGAAAUAGAUCCCAGAACUCUCUCCUGUUUCUUUCAUCCGGAUUCUCAUAAAAACCUAUCAAAUGCCAAGCUUCAUGAAUUUAAUUAUCGUGCACCUCAACAUCAAUAUGGGAGGAAGAAAAACUCUUUAGCUGGAUUAAAGAAUUUCCUUUCUAACCCAAAUAUAGACCUCUUUUUAAGCUUAAGUGUAACAACUUGAUUUUGGGCCUAGUCAGAAUAGUAGUUUCGAAACCACAAAUCCAGAGUCAGAGAAAUUAUUUUAAAAUUUAUUUUAUGUGUUGUGGCAUGAUAAUACGAGUGCAUGAGAAUUUUGGUGGAUUAAUUUUAGCGAUUGCGUGCUUAAUUGUGAAAAAGGACUAAAUCGCAUAAAGUGCAAAAGUCCUAUUUUGAUAGCUAAGGGUGUCAAAUAGUUAGAGAACCAAAAUUGGGGGUCUUUAAAGGGAAAAUAGACCCUUAAAAUAGAGGUGGCCGGUAAUAGGGAUAAUAGGGAUGAGAAAGACAAAGUUAGGUGGGCUAAAUUGAAUAAAAUAAAACAUAAGAAAAAGGCUAUCAUCUUUUUUUGUUUUGCUCCUUCUUCUCCACCGAUUUUACUCCAAGAAAAUUACCAUGGAAGCUUGAAAAAUUUCAGCAACUUAAAGCCUUUUCAAGUAAGUGGUUUUGAGGGCUUUUCUUGAAUAUUUUUUGUACUUUUGAGAUCAUUAUAGCAUGAGCUUUCUAACAAAGGGACUAUUUUACAAAAUGGUUGAAAGUAUAAGUUUUUUCCAUGAUAGUAGACAUGUUGAUUUCUAAAAUUUUAUGGAAGAAUAUGAGUUAUGGUUGUGAAAUAAACAACUUUUGUGAAGUAGUUUUCAUGGAAACCCUAACCAAGGACCAUUUUGCAUAAGUUGUGAAAUAGAUGUUACAUGUGUGUAAUAUUGAGAAUUUUGGGCUGCUUUUAGUAUAAAAAGUAUUCGGCUAGACUUGGUUAAUGAGAAAAUGUGAUAAAAAUUGAUUUUCGGACAUAUGGGCAAAAUGGUCAUUUUACCCAAUUAUGAAUUUUCGAGUGUCUAGAUUAAUAUGCUGAUGAAAUGAAUGAAUUUCUAUCAUUUUAGAUCAAGAGUUACAAAAUUUGGGCCUAGACCGGGGAAAAACAAAGCUAGUAGACUAAACCGAACUAGUCGCCUACAUUUUGUAUACCGAGGUUAGUUGUAUGUAAAUAAUACAACUACAUUGUAUUAUAUGUGUUUGAAUUAAUAUAACAUGAGUUGCUUGAUUGUGGAAAUGAUGAUGUAUGAUGAUAAUUGAGAUAGUAGAACUCCGUUUGAACCUUAGGAAAUAAAUCGGAUAUUCAUGCCAUGACAUUCGGGUAAUUGUGUGCUAGUGUAAGACAUGUCUAGGACAUGCAUCAGCCACAUUAUGAGAGCCAGUGUAAGACCAUGUAUGGGGCAUAACAUCGGCAUUGAGACAAGAGCUAGUGUAAGACAUGUCUGGGACAUACAUCGGCUACAAGAUGUGUCAGUGUAAGACCAUAUCUGGGACAUGGCAUCAGCACGUAUAGAGGUGUCAGUGUAAGACCAUGUCUGGGACAUGGCAUCGGUACGAAUAUGUGAGAGCUAGUGUAAGACCAUGUCUGGGACAUGGUGUCGGCCUUGGUUUCGAUAGUCAGUGUAAGACCAUGUCUGGGACAUGGUAUCAACUUCAUGGACGAGCCAGUGUAAGACCAUGUCUAGGACAUGGCAUUGGCAUUAUACCUUAUGUUUGAGACUUAGUGAAUAUCUGAUAGCAUUCCAAAUGGUUCAACGGUGAGAAUUACAGUUUAAGUGAAAUGAGAAGAGUAUAACCAUGUUGUGAGUGGUACAGGUACCUAUUUGAAAUGUAUGAGAUGUGAGCUCAAUAUAUGCUAUGUGAAUUGUAUUGGAUAAUAAUGAGUAAGUUGUGCUUAUGCCUACUUUUGUAUUAUGAGAAUGAUGAUGAAUGGUAAAGUUGUUAUAUUUAUUUGCAUGCAACUUACUAAGCUUUAUGCUUACUCCCUCUCCUUUCCAUUUUCUUAUAGUGCCGCCUAAUUAGCUCGAAGAUCAUCAGACAUCGAAGGCAUCGAUCAUACUAUCAACCGAAGCACUUGGUAUAGUUGGUUUUAUUAUUUUGAGUAUGGCAUGUAUAGGGCCUAGACUUUUGAGUUUUGUGUCAAUGUUAAUUUAGUAAAGGUGUUAGCUUGGCAUGAAUCUCUUAGUUUUGUAUAAAGCCUUGGAUAAUGGCUAAUAUUCAUUAUUGAUAUAUGCAAAUGAUGAUAUUUUCAUGAAUGAUUUAAUGCCUUGUGUGGCUGAUUA